rnacentral:tRNA from 1 species
CUGGUAGAUCAGUGGUUACAUCGCUUGCUUUGCAAGCAAGAUAUCGCGCGUUCGACUCGCGCCCAG